rnacentral:rRNA from 1 species
CAAAUGACUCUCGGCAAUGGAUAUCUCGGCUCUUGCAUCGAUGAAGAACGUAGUGAAAUGCGAUACUUGRUGUGAAUUGCAGAAUCUCGYGAACCAUUGAGUCUUUGAACGCAAGUUGUGCCCGAGGCCUURUGGUCGAGGGCACGCCUGCUUGGGUGUCAUGAC